rnacentral:rRNA from 1 species
UACAGAGGGUGCGAGCGUUGUCCGGAAUCAUUGGGCGUAAAGGGCGCGUAGGUGGCCCCUCAAGCGUGCGGUGAAAGUCAGGGGCUCAACCCCUGAUCGGCCGUGCGAACUGGGGAGCUUGAGCACUGUAGAGGCAGGCGGAAUUCCGGGUGUAGCGGUGGAAUGCGUAGAGAUCCGGAAGAACACCGGUGGCGAAGGCGGCCUGCUGGGCAGUUUGCUGACACUGAGGCGCGACAGCGUGGGGAGCGAACGAGG